GAUGAACGUUAGCGGCAGGCUUAAUACAUGCAAGUCGAGGGGCAGCACGGUUAGCAAUAACUGGUGGCGACCGGCGCACGGGUGCGUAACACGUAUACAAUCUACCUUAAACAGGGGGAUAGCCUUUCGAAAGAGAGAUUAAUACCCCGUAAUAAAUUGAACGGCAUCGUUUGAUUUUGAAAGCUCCGGCGGUUUGAGAUGAGUAUGCGUCUGAUUAGCUAGUUGGUGAGGUAACGGCUCACCAAGGCGACGAUCAGUAGGGGGAUCUGAGAGGACUAACCCCCACACUGGUACUGAGACACGGACCAGACUCCUACGGGAGGGCAGCAGUAAGGAAUAUGGUCAAUGAGGGCGAACUACCUGAACC
rnacentral:rRNA from 1 species